UCAAAUAUUAAUUAUAUAUUUUUAUUAAAAACAAUAUACAAUUUUUAAGACAAUAUUUUUUCAUUUAAUUCUUAAUUUGUGCCCUUACGCCACAGGAAGUGCACCCUGCCUGCACGUAUUGGUUUAAUCCAAUUUUUUUACAAUCACAAACACCAAUAAUAUGUGAACACUUGGCAUACUAACUAGUAAAAAUGAAAAGUAAAAAGAAGUGCUCUAGUAUUCUCUUUCAUUUUCACGUGAAGACAACGCAACAGAGAUUGUUUAUCAUCAUUUUAAUGCAACAUGACAUUAAAAUUUAAACAGCACUGAAGAACAACACACAAAAUAAGCAACAUGAGAAAAAUUGAAAUAAAAGAAACAGUGGAUACGAGGAAUACGUGGGCCACAUCGUGAGUUGGAAGGUUUGUCCGUGGAUGUGAAAUGUUGGGUUAAAUAUGUACCUGACGGUUUCAUGGCGGUUCAGUCGCGUGUGUUGCAGUGUGAAUAGGGUUGUGAGGGUGGCGAGAUUUUCUAUGAUGGAGGUGAUGAUGGAAUGUUGUUUUGAUGAUGAUGAAAUGAGAUGAAGAAGAGUUUGAAGUUGGAGAAUUAUGUAUGUAUGAGAGAAGAGUGAGGAAUAUGAUGGAUCCCCUUUUUGUUUACUACAAAACUUUUGCUGUUGAAAGAGAGAGAUAAGAUGAAGGAU
rnacentral:lncRNA from 1 species